rnacentral:tRNA from 1 species
UCCCUGGCAGUCUAGCGGUUAAGACUCUGCACUCCCAAUGCAGGGAACAUGGGUUCUAUCCCUGGUGGGGGAA